GAUGAAGAACGUAGCGAAAUGCGAUACUUGGUGUGAACUGUAGAAUCCCGUGAACCAUCGAGUCUUUGAACGCAAGUUGCGCCCGAAGCCAUUAGGCCGAGGGCACGCCUGCCUGGGUGUCACACACCGUUACCCUCGCGCCAACGUCCAUCGUUGGCCGCGGCGCGGGGCGUGCGCUGACCUCCCGCGAGCGGGGUCUCGUGGUUGGUUGAAAAUCGAGUUCGCGGUCGAGGGUGCCGUGAUGAAAUGGUGGCUGAGCGACGCCCGAGGCCAAUCACGCGCGACUCUGUCCGGCUCGGACUCCUGGACCCCUUCGGCGUCUCCGGACGCUCUUUGGCGAGACCUCAGGUCAGGCGGGGCUACCCGCUGAGUUUAAGCAUAUCAAUAAGCGGAGGA
rnacentral:misc_RNA from 1 species